rnacentral:misc_RNA from 1 species
UUUAAACCUUGAAUUUAUUUUUUAAAUGUUUAUAUUAUUUGAAURWWWCWWUCAAAUAAUAUAAAAAAUAAUAUAUAUAUUGACAUGGAUUAAACAAAGAUAUAUAUUAUUYUAUGUUGUAURAACAAAUUGGCAAAAUAGAGAUGGAAGAUAAAAAUAUGGUCAAAGUAAUAAGAGUCUAUGGUGRAUGCCUAGGAGCUUUAAGGCGAAGAAGGUCGUGGUAAGCUGCGAAAAGCUUGGGGG